rnacentral:rRNA from 1 species
AACGAACGCUGGCGGCAUGCCUAACACAUGCAAGUCGAACGAUACCUUCGGGUCUUUUUGCGCACGUGUUCUUAACGCGUUGUAACCUUCCCUUAUGUUCGGAAUAACUCCCCUUAAGGGGUGCUAAUACCGGAUAAUUUCUUCUGACCAAAGAUUUAUCGCCUUUGGAUGGGCCCGCGUUGGAUUAGCUUGUUGGUAGGGUAAAAGCAUACCAAGGCGACGAUCCAUAGCUGGUAUGAGAGGAUGAUCAGCCACACUGGGACUGAGACACGGCACAGACUACGACGGGAGGGAGGAGAGGGGAAUAGAGGAAAAUGGGGGAAAGGAUGAAAAAGCAAGGAGGGGAGAGUGAUGAAGGCAGUAGGGAAGAAAAGCAAUAUUAAAAGGGAAGAGAAUGACAGUAACGGGAGAAUAAGCAACGGCUAACGACGUG